AGUAUUUAUACAGUAGUUUUUGAUCAAAAAUUUCCUUCUUAAAAAUGUGGAAAGUUCACAAGAAAGUUGUCGACAAAAAAACUUAUGCAUAGACCAGUGCAAGAAUACUUUGAAAAUGAGAAAAAUAAAAUAAGUCAUAGUAGAUUGAAACCCGUCGGAAAUGAAAAAUAAAAUGAUAAACAUUAAUUGAAAUAUAAUUUAUGGGCGAUCUGAGUAUUAUUACAAUAUUAUUAUCACAUUUUACGGCAAACUAAAAAAAGUAAAGGCUUCUAGAAGACUAAUUCGAGCUUUAGUAUAUAAAUACAUUAGUAUACACUUCUUAUAGGUAUACAUGUGUUGAUAAAACGAAUGUUUGAGAGUUGACAUCACUCAGCGCAAGUCCAAUUGAAAAUGUUGGUCACAAUCACGCCAUGCUCGAUAAUAGGUACAAAAGCCUGAAUAGACAGGCUGCAUAAUAAAUCAACCAUGUUUCUCUCGAGAUAGAACUUCAGAUUGUCUGCUACCAGAACUCUUACUCGGUAUAAGAUGUGGUAUAACUCUUUGGACGGGCUCAGAACUAUUUAAAUCAAAAUUAAACAUAAUUUGUGACACGAUAAAAGGCUUCAAAAUGUGUAUACUGGCUCACCAGUUGGCGAAGAGAUUCAGCAGUUUUCCAAAAUAGUUUUGCACCUUAAUCUCAAAUAUAGAAGGAAGAUCAUUAGUAAACUGGGUUUGCUAAUAUAAUAUAUUUUUAUCCUGCAAAAUUUCAAAGUAUCCCAAAAUAGGAAAAGAAGCCAAACAUUUAACGAUUACUUGGUGUAGUUAACGAAACUCUCAGAAGUGUCAUUAACUAAUUACUUCAGUUCCCUGACUUAUCUCUAUAGCAAUUUUUUCGUUUAAGAUGAUUAUAAAUUAAAGUUUUAAACCUCAAUCCAAUGUAUAAGGUGUAGAAAAACAAGAAUCCAUUAUUUUUGCAAUAUAA